rnacentral:tRNA from 1 species
GCCUAAUUAUCGACAGUGAUAUCUGGAUACAUCAUUCGUAAUGAUGGGGUCGCGUGUUCGAGUCACGCAAGCGGCACCA